UUGGAGGGCAAGUCUGGUGCCAGCAGCCGCGGUAAUUCCAGCUCCAAUAGCGUAUAUUAAAGUUGUUGCAGUUAAAAAGCUCGUAGUUGAAUUUCGGGAUCAAGGGAUCGGUCAUGCCUUGGUAUGUACUGGUCUUAUUGGUUCUCACCUUCUAAAGAACCAUGAUGUCAUUCAUUUGAUGUUAUGGGGAAUUAGGACUGUUACCUUGAAAAAAUUAGAGUGUUUAAAGCAAGCUUACGCUUGAAUACAUUAGCAUGGAAUAAUGAAAUAGGACAUCAGAUUCUAUUUUGUUGGUUUCUAGGAUCGAUGUAAUGAUUAAUAGGGAUAGUUGGGGGCAUUAGUAUUCAAUUGUCAGAGGUGAAAUUCUUGGAUUUAUUGAAGACUAACUACUGCGAAAGCAUUUGCCAAGGAUGUUUUCAUUAAUCAAGAACGAAAGUUAGGGGAUCGAAGACGAUCAGAUACCGUCGUAGUCUUAACCAUAAACUAUGCUGACUAGGGAUCGGACGAUGUUAAUUUUUUAAUGACUCGUUCGGCGCCUUACGGGAAAC
rnacentral:rRNA from 1 species